AACGAACGCUGGCGGCAUGCCUAACACAUGCAAGUCGAACGACACCUUCGUAACUAGUUGCGCACGCGUGCGUAACGCGGGGGAACCUGCCCGUAUAUUCGGAAUACCUCCCCGUAAGGGGGGCUAAUACCGGAUAAUGUCUUCUGACCAAAGAUAUGUCGCCCUGGGAUGGGCGCGCGUUGGUUUAGCUUGUUGGUAGUGUAAGAGCCUACCACGGCUAGGUUCCAUAGCUGGGCAGAGAGGAAGGGCCGCCACACUGGGACUGAGACACGGUCCGGACUCCUACGGGAGGCGGCAGUGGGGGAUAUAGGAAAACGGGCGAAAGCAUGAACCAGCUAGGCCGCGUGAGUGAUGAAGGCCUUAGGGUUGUAAAGCUCUUUUAUCCGGGAUGAUAAUGACAGUACCGGGAGAAUAAGCACCGGCUAACUCCGUG
rnacentral:rRNA from 1 species